rnacentral:rRNA from 1 species
AUUGAACGCUGGCGGCAGGCUUAACACAUGCAAGUCGAGCGGUAGAAAGUAGCUUGCUACUUUUGAGAGCGGCGGACGGGUGAGUAAUGCGUGGGAAUCUACCUGGUAGUGGGGGACAACAGUUGGAAACGACUGCUAAUACCGCAUACGCCCUACGGGGAAAGCGGGGGAGUCUUCGGACCUCGUGCUAUCAGAUGAGCCCGCGUGAGAUUAGCUAGUUGGUGGGGUAAAGGCCUACCAAGGCGACGAUCUCUAGCUGGUCUGAGAGGAUGAUCAGCCACACUGGGACUGAGACACGGCCCAGACUCCUACGGGAGGCAGCAGUGGGGAAUAUUGGACAAUGGGCGCAAGCCUGAUCCAGCCAUGCCGCGUGUGUGAAGAAGGCCUCGGUGUAAGACACUUCUAGCGAGGAGGAAAGGUUAGGUAGUCGUUAAUAACGCUGCAGCUGUGACGUUACUCGUCAGAAGAAGACACCGG